rnacentral:rRNA from 1 species
AGGGAAACCGAGUCUGAAUAGGGCGACUAGUUGCAUGCCGUAGACCCGAAACCGGGUGACCUAUCCAUGGCCAGGUUGAAGCGAGGGUAAAACCUCGUGGAGGACCGAACCACGUUGCUGUUGAAAAAGCAUGGGAUGAGCUGUGGAUAGCGGAGAAAUUCCAAUCGAACCCGGAGAUAGCUGGUUCUCUCCGAAAUAGCUUUAGGGCUAGCGUCGAGUAUGAGUAGUGGAGGUAGAGCACUGAAUGGGCUAGGGGGCAUAGCGCUUACCGAACCUUAUCAAACUCCGAAUGCCACAUACUUUGAGCUCGGCAGUCAGACUACGAAUGAUAAGAUCCGUGGUCAAAAGGGAAACAGCCCAGAUCGUCAGCUAAGGUCCCAAAGUGUAAGUUAAGUGGGAAAGGAUGUGAGAUUUCUAAGACAACUAGGAUGUUGGCUUAGAAGCAGCCAUUCAUUAAAAGAGUGCGUAAUAGCUCACUAGUCGAGAGAUCUUGCGCCGAAAAUGUAACGGGGCUAAACUUACCA